GAGUUUGAUCAUGGCUCAGAUUGAACGCUGGCGGAAUGCUUUACACAUGCAAGUCGAGCGGCAGCGCGGGGCAACCUGGCGGCGAGCGGCGAACGGGUGAGUAAUGCAUCGGAACAUGUCCAUGUCGUGGGGGAUAGCCCGGCGAAAGCCGGAUUAAUACCGCAUACGCCCGAGAGGGGAAAGUGGGGGACCGCAAGGCCUCACGCGAUUGGGUUGGCCGAUGUCCGAUUAGCUAGUUGGCGGGGUAAAGGCCCACCAAGGCGACGAUCGGUAGCUGGUCUGAGAGGAUGAUCAGCCACACUGGAACUGAGACACGGUCCAGACUCCUACGGGAGGCAGCAGUGGGGAAUAUUGGACAAUGGGCGCAAGCCUGAUCCAGCCAUGCCGCGUGUGUGAAGAAGGCCUCGGUUGUAAG
rnacentral:rRNA from 1 species